GACGAACCGUGCGAACGUUAUUCGGAAUCACUGGGCUUAAAGCGCGUGUAGGCGGGUCGGCACGUCGGGAGCUGAAAUCCCCCGGCUCAACCGGGGAAGGGGCGCCGAUACGACCGGCCUGGAGGGACGUAGGGGGGGCUGGAACUUCCGGUGGAGCGGUGAAAUGCGUUGAGAUCGGAAGGAACGCCCGUGGCGAAAGCGAGCUCCUGGACGUUUUCUGACGCUGAGACGCGAAAGCCAGGGGAGCGAACGGG
rnacentral:rRNA from 1 species